CCUACGGGAGGCUGCAGUGGGGAAUUUUGGACAAUGGGGGCAACCCUGAUCCAGCCAUGCCGCGUGCGGGAAGAAGGCCUUCGGGUUGUAAACCGCUUUUGUCAGGGAAGAAAUCUUCCGAGCUAAUACCUUGGGAGGAUGACGGUACCUGAAGAAUAAGCACCGGCUAACUACGUGCCAGCAGCCGCGGUAAUACGUAGGGGACAUGCGUUAAUCGGAAUUUGUGGGCGUAAUUGUGCAAGAGGCGGGUGAUAUCCCCGGGCUUAACCUGGGAACUGCACGUGUGACUGUACGGCUGGAGUACGGCAGAGGGGGAUGGAAUUCCGCGUGUAGCAGUGAAAUGCGUAGAUAUGCGGAGGAACACCGAUGGCGAAGGCAGUCCCCUGGGCCUGUACUGACGCUCAUGCACGAAAGCGUGGGGAGCAAACAGGAUUAGAUACCCUAGUAGUC
rnacentral:rRNA from 1 species